rnacentral:sRNA from 1 species
CCUUAGCCUCGAUAGAAGAGGAAAUCCUUAUUAUUUUUUAUCAAAAUAAUAAGGUUGAAACGAAUCGCGGGAAAUAGC